CGGAUGCUCUUCCGAUUUGGAGGUCUGGACGUAGAUACUCGAGCCUAUUUUACUUCAGCUACUAUAAUUAUUGCUAUUUCAACUGGGGUCAAAGUAUUUAGCUGACUAGGAACAUUACAUGGAGGAAACAUCAAAUGAUCACCAGCAAUACUAUGAGCUCUAGGGUUUGUUUUCCUAUUUACAGUAGGAGGACUGACCGGAAUUGUUUUAUCAAAGUCCUCAUUAGAUAUUGUACUCCAUGACACCUACUACGUAGUAGCUCACUUCCAUUAUGUCCUAUCCAUAGGAGCAGUAUUUGCUAUUAUAGCCGGCUUUGUACACUGAUUCCCACUAUUUUCUGGUUAUACUUUAGAUGAUACAUGAGCAAAAGCCCACUUUGCUAUUAUAUUCGUAGGAGUUAACAUAACAUUUUUUCCACAACACUUUCUAGGUCUUUCUGGAAUACCACGACGAUAUUCUGAUUACCCAGACGCCUA